GAUGAACGCUGGCGGCGUGCCUAAUACAUGCAAGUCGAGCGAAUGGAUUAAGAGCUUGCUCUUAUGAAGUUAGCGGCGGACGGGUGAGUAACACGUGGGUAACCUGCCCAUAAGACUGGGAUAACUCCGGGAAACCGGGGCUAAUACCGGAUAACAUUUUGAACCGCAUGGUUCGAAAUUGAAAGGCGGCUUCGGCUGUCACUUAUGGAUGGACCCGCGUCGCAUUAGCUAGUUGGUGAGGUAACGGCUCACCAAGGCAACGAUGCGUAGCCGACGUGAGAGGGUGAUCGGCCACACUGGGACGGGCACACGGCCCAGAGUCCUACGGAGGGCAGCAGUAGGGAAUCAUCCGCAAUGGGCGAAAGUCUGACGGAGCACCGCCGCGUGAGUGAUGAAGGCUUUCGGGUCGUAAAACUCUGUUGUUAGGGAAGAACAAGUGCUAGUUGAAUAAGCUGGCACCUUGACGGUACCUAACCAGAAAGCCACGGCUAACUACGUGCCAGCAGCCGCCGUAA
rnacentral:rRNA from 1 species